rnacentral:tRNA from 1 species
GCAAUAAAAGCCGAUUAGAGGCAGUGGUCUUGUAAGCCGAAGGUAGAAAAUAGUUAUUUUUUUAUUGCU